AAGGGAAAACUACAAGAAAAACCAUAAUAACAAUCUUAUUUUUACAUAUGGUCCAGUGUUGAAUAUUUAAGGAGUUUAUUCCCUGUUACGAAUUCAGAGUGUAAUAAAUGUAUUUGUGGGUGUUUUGUUUGGGGGGGGGAGGGGGGAGUUAAAUGUUUCCUGUGGCACAAGAAGUAGAAUCUACAAUUAAUUCAUUUGUACUGCCAUGCAAAUUAUAGAAUCUCACAAGCUUACCACCACUUGCUUGUUUUUAGUACCAUCUUACUGUAUUGAAAAAUCCACAUUUAUGUACUGUAAAGUACUCAGCUGAACAAUUUCUUACUUCAUCUACAGAAGUACCAAGCAGCUACAUAGGUAGGUGUAAUGCAGCUUCUUGUCUCAGCUGUGUUACCUUGCCCUGCCUGAAGACCCUCAGGGACCUGAUUCAACUCACCUGGAGCCUGUGAGAAACACAACUGAGUGCACUGGCUGUGCUGCAGCUCUCUCAAUAUUUGAUACUCUUUUAAUGAAAAAUUAAUAAAAAGUAUUGGUGAACAAAUAUUUCAGCUUUUAAUUGUAAAUAUAUUUACACUAUGAGCCUAAGAUUGAGCUGCAAGCCUGAUGAGCCGAGAAACUUGGGUUGUACUCAUGGCUCUGCUGUGGAUUCAGCAUGAGAUUUAGUAUAUGAUGCUUUCUCUUACAUUGGUAAUUUCUAUCUUACCACCAGAAAAACAAUCAUUUACUUCUCAGAGAGGAUGCAUCAAGAUUCCUGUAUAUCCCUUUCACUGAAGUUCUCCAGGAUCCUUUUCCAAUAAUUCCUUGCUAUUACUGUUAUUGAUGGGGGGAGAAGAAAGUCACUUUCCAUUUGAAUACUAUAAAGCUUUAAUUCAACAACAAGACUGUCAGUGAGACCAGACAACAUCAUUAUCUCUGUCUGGAGCCUGCGUGAAGAAACAGUGACAGAAGUGACACUCAAAAGAAAACGAGAGAAGAAUAGAAGGUUGCUUAAAAAAGAACAAGAUCACAACGGCAGACGCAGACCAGAGAAUAAACUCCCUGCCUACAUUACCAUGGAAUGGGUCUGUGGUUUAUUGCCACUACUGCUAAAUUAAUGGGAAGUAAAAUUCUGACUUUGCGUAGAAGUUGCUCAUAAUGCAACUCAGCAAAGCGUUUUUGCCAAGUAAGUGAAAUAGCAGUUACCAAGCCACACCUUCAGCUACAAACGGUGAGUACUAAGUGUCUUUCAGCAAGCCAGUGCUCUAAGCAUUGCCUGAGUGUCAGCCUGACAAAGAUCUUGGUCAGAGAGCCACGACAGAUAUUUCUAACCUUUUAGAAUCUAUUUAAAAGUAAGGGCAUAACUCAUCUCCUCAUAUAGAAAAAUACUGCUUAUUAUAGUAGAUUGCUUCUACUUGGAAACAGUCCCAAGAUUAGAUUCAACCAUACAUACUGCUAACUGACCUAACAUGAGCCUUUAAUUGCAAAUAUCAACGUGUCUUUCAUUAGCCAAGCAUUCAUUUAAUUAGAACUUGAAGUAUGUGUUUUAAGUUAGCUAAAACUAUUUUCAAUGCACAUUAAUAUCUUUGAGGCUACUGCAAUACUAAUUGCACUUGCUAUAGCAAGAAUCUACAUGAAACACCUGCCUGAAAUCUCAAUUUUUACUGCUAUUGCUGUCACCCCUCUGAAAUACAGUGUGUAUAAGCAUGUGCAACUGGCAGUCACAGGAGGCAGAGCGACAA